rnacentral:rRNA from 1 species
UGCAUAUCCAAAAGCGGAGGAAAAGAAACCAACAGGGAUUGCCCUAGUAACGGCGAGUGAAGCGGCAACAGCUCAAAUUUGAAAGCUAGCCUUCGGGUUCGCAUUGUAAUUUGUAGAGGAUGAUUUGGGGAAGCCGCCUGUCUAAGUUCCUUGGAACAGGACGUCAUAGAGGGUGAGAAUCCCGUAUGUGACAGGAAAUGGCACCCUAUGUAAAUCUCCUUCGACGAGUCGAGUUGUUUGGGAAUGCAGCUCUAAAUGGGAGGUAAAUUUCUUCUAAAGCUAAAUAUUGGCGAGAGACCGAUAGCGCACAAGUAGAGUGAUCGAAAGAUGAAAAGCACUUUGGAAAGAGAGUUAAAAAGCACGUGAAAUUGUUGAAAGGGAAGCGCUUGCAAUCAGACUUGUUUAAACUGUUCGGCCGGUCUUCUGACCGGUUUACUCAGUUUGGACAGGCCAGCAUCAGUUUCGGCGGCCGGAUAAAGGCUCUGGGAAUGUGGCCUCCACUUCGGUGGAGGUGUUAUAGCCCAGGGUGUAAUACGGCCAGCCGGGACUGAGGUCCGCGCUUCGGCUAGGAUGCUGGCGUAAUGGUUGUAAGCGACCCGUCUUGAA